rnacentral:rRNA from 1 species
UACGUAGGGGGCAAGCGUUGUCCGGAUUUAUUGGGCGUAAAGAGCGUGUAGGCGGCUAGGUAGGUCCGUUGUGAAAACUCGAGGCUCAACCUCGAGACGUCGAUGGAAACCAUCUAGCUAGAGUCCGGAAGAGGAGAGUGGAAUUCCUGGUGUAGCGGUGAGAUGCGCAGAUAUCAGGAGGAACACCGGUGGCGAAGGCGGAUCUCUGGGCCGAUACUGACGCUGAGGAGCGAAAGCGUGGGGAGCGAACAGG